CGGCACAGUCCGAGCGCCGGCCCCGGCCGCUCCUCCGCUCGGAUUCUCCGGUUUCGAUCUGAGGACCCCGGGGCCGCCCCGCGCUUCGAGCCCACGGGCGGAGACGUUCCGGAAAGCAGACAGCAGCGCACAGCGGUCCGGGUGCGACCCCUCUCGCUCUGCGUGCCGAGACCGCCCCGAAUUAACGUUUCCCGUUCUCCGUCCCUCUUCCCCAGGGCAGCACGGAGCGCUGCGGAGCAUCUCUGUGCCCUCGUGAGAGCCGGCGGUGCAACGAACGGCAGUCGUUCGUACGGCCGGAUCGUUUUCCUGGCGGUAAACCACUUGGCCACCGCGCCUGCGUUAACGGCUCGGCCCGAGGCCGUUCUGUCGCUGGCGCCACUCCCGCUGCUCCGCGGCCUUCGCGGUGCGCGCGCGUCAGCACCUGCGGCCGUUAGGCGCGCGCGCGACCGUUGCUCCCUCAGGCGAGGCCGUCCCGCCGCGCGUUCCGCCUGCGCGGCCAGGCGUUCCUCUGCCGAGAGGUGGCCCUCGUGUGCUCAGAGCCGUAAUUGGAGCAGUCUUCCCCGGGACGGGAAAAACAGCUUAGGGAGGAGGAAGAAAAAGCAGGAAGAAAACGCGCAUCCUCCCGGAAACGGAGCGGGAGUGCAGACUUUGCGGUUUCUCGGAGGGACUCUGAAUUGAUACAGUGCUAUGGCAGAAUGGAACAGCGUCCUCGUUCUGCAGAGGAGACUGGAGACUCAUCAUCAGAACUGUGCAUAAAUGUGGCUUGGCUGUCCAGCUUAAACCAAGAGAAAGAACUUUACAGCAAUAGGACUCUAUGAAGAAAAAUGGGAACAGGCUGUGGCAUGCAAGAGCUAAUCUGACAAACAGAAGUCAACGGUUAUUUCUUCAGAGAUCACCACUCCUUCAAACAAAUACACCUGAAGUUAGGAAGUUGUGUCAACUGCCAUUCCCUUACGUAUGAAAAACCUUUCUACUUACAAAGUUUUUUAAAAUAAAAUACCAUUUUAUUUGUAGUAAUUAAAAUAAAAC
rnacentral:lncRNA from 1 species